UGGCAUAGUGGUUAAGCACUCGGCUGCUAACUGAAAGGUUGGUGGUUUGAACCCACC
rnacentral:tRNA from 1 species